UUAAAUUGAAGAGUUUGAUCAUGGCUCAGAUUGAACGCUGGCGGCAGGCCUAACACAUGCAAGUCGAACGGUAACAGGAAGCAGCUUGCUGCUUCGCUGACGAGUGGCGGACGGGUGAGUAAUGUCUGGGAAACUGCCUGAUGGAGGGGGAUAACUACUGGAAACGGUAGCUAAUACCGCAUAACGUCGCAAGACCAAAGAGGGGGACCU
rnacentral:rRNA from 1 species